CAAAGGUCCAAAGGCCUCAAAAAGGGAACAAUCAUCUGAUAUGGGACAGCUGGUUACUUUGCUUCCUAAUUAGUCCGAACACAGAGGGUUACGGUGCUGGGGACUCAAAUUUAGCAUUAAAAAAAAAUAAAAAUGCUUUAAUGCCAAGUAGAAGGCCAGUGAUGCAGACCAUUUCAAUGAGAUGAGGCCGUUAUAGUGCCUACAGUGUCUCUGUAAAGGGUAACUAUCACUUCCAAGAUUUCUAAUGCUUUAUUUACUUAUCCUCAAUAUUUAACAAACAUGCAUUUGUGAAGUAUGAAAAAUAAAAUGUAAAAUUCAACACUGCCUAUUUACCUCUAUUCUAGACUAUUCUAGACAUCUUGACUCCCUGUUACAGGCUCGACCACUUUUGUCUUAUUGAACACAGGACGUGAAGGAGGAUAGUGUUGGAGAUAAAUCAAAAAGUAUUAUGUUCUGAAACAGGGUGCUUGUUUGCUGGUUCUACAGUGAUUGUCAAACUUUUCAGAACACAGCACUUUGGUUUAUUCCCCCUGUUUUUAUCCACCUUCAAUCAGGUAUGUGCCCUCGCUGUGCCAGGACUAAAUUGGAUUGUGAUCCCAAUUGUUAUAUUUUCUAUAUUUGUUUAAAGUGUCUCUGUUAUUUUCCCCCCCAUGGGUAUGUCAAAUAUGAAUGCUUCUGCUGCACUGUUUUUGAUUACUUUUCUUUAUGUAUAACCUGCAGGUUGACAAAAGUUGACAACGGGUGGAGUUUUAGUCAAGUCUUUGACAUUGGCUGGUGAGCCUGUACUCACCUCCUCCCAGUGUCGCAUUACUUUCGGGAAGUCUUACGUCAAGGAUCCUAUGUGUUGACAAUCCUCUACGUUGACUCUUGUGAAAUCAUGAGAGUCAAUACAUGUUCAGUGGAAGCCUGGGCAUGAACGUCAUUUGACGCUCACGCCCAAGCAAAGGCCAAAGAUGGAAUUUAUGGACGCUAUCAUCUUAGAAAUGCAAAGAUGGUGGCACUGUGUAGUCUCCUUUAACUGAGAUUCAUCUUAAAAAUUCACUUAUUUUCCUUUGACCAUUCAGUUUCUGAAAUAAAUUUCAUUUUAUACAGAUCUGUUGUUUUAACCCCUUAAGGACACAUGACAUGUGUGACAUGUCAUGAUUCCCUUUUAUUCCAGAAGUUUGGUCCUUAAGGGGUUAAAGAUUUUUGAAUCUAAAACAGAUAUUAAUUUGUGCCUAUAUGUUG